rnacentral:rRNA from 1 species
UGCAUGGCUGUCGUCAGCUCGUGUCGUGAGAUGUUGGGUUAAGUCCCGCAACGAGCGCAACCCCCAUCCUAUGUUGCCAGCAUUAAGUUGGGGACUCAUAGGAAACUGCCCCGGUCAACGGGGAGGAAGGUGGGGAUGACGUCAAGUCAUCAUGCCCUUUAUAUCCUGGGCUGCACACGUGCUACAAUGGCCGGUACAAUAGGCUGCGAAGGGGCGACCCGGAGCGAAUCCUUUAAAACCGGUCCCAGUUCGAAUUGAAGGCUGCAACUCGCCUUCAUGAAGUUGGAGUCGCUAGUAAUCGCGAAUCAGCAACGUCGCGGUGAAUGCGUUCCCGGGCCUUGUACACACCGCCCGUCACACCACCCGAGUCGUCUGUACCCGAAGUCGCUGGCUUAACCCGCAAGGGAAAGAGGCGCCGAAGGUAUGGGGGGUAAGGGGGGUGAAGUCGUAACAAGGUAGCUGUACCGGAAGGUGCGGCUGGAUCACCUCCUUU